rnacentral:lncRNA from 10 species
AUGAUAUCCUAAGAACAUUUUAUUCUCUUUGUUUUUCUGAUAUAGUACAUUGCACAGAAGUCAAACAAGAUUAAGAAUACUACAAAACAUUUUAUGUGUCUGAAAAGUUUAUUUCAAAAUAAUUUCUACCUACGAAAGAUUUGAUACUUGGCAAGAAACAAUGGAUACGUGUAUCAAGAUGUAAUGAGAAAGACUUGUGUAUAAACCAGAGUCCCUCAAAUUGGAGCUAGAUAAACUGAAAGAUGAAGCUUUUCUCACCUUCCAGAUGAGUGAGUGCAUUAUCUAUGGUUAUGAGCUUUAUUAAUGAGAAAAAGGGAAUGAGUGGAUGUUUAACACGUACCAUGGUAGACUCUACAUAUUGAACCUGUUAAUGUUUGCCAUUCAAGUUUAAACCCCACUCUCCUUCGUUCCUUAUUUUCAACACCAGCAGAGAUUUCUUCAGCUAUCCAUCAUUCUCUAUGAAGCCAUGUGCUUACAGGAAGGCUGAACUUCACUCAACCCAUGAAAGUUAGAUACUGGCUGGUUUAAGUCUUUUAAGGUGCUUGCACUGUUCUAGGUCAUGAUUUGUUAAGGUCAAGGCAUAUGGGACAAUCCUGGUCAGUGAGACAGGUCUGCUGGUGUUUAUGAAAGUGACUUUCCAACUGUUAAGAUUAAGAAGGGAGACAGAAAGAGGGCGGGGGGUAAUCUCUUAUCUGCUGGAUAUUGCUAUCUGAAUAGGAUGCCUGAACCACUGUAGCCAUUUAGCCAUCUUGUCAACUCAAGAAAAUUUAUACUGAGAACAUUGUCAACAAAGGAGAGAAUAACAUGGCUGAAAGAUUAAAAAUAAUCAGAGUAUUGUUAUCAUUGAGCUAUGACAAUGAGUCAGUUCUGACCUCUACUAUUCUGCCAGGAUAUAAUAAUGCAUUCUCUGAUUCCUUAAGUAAUUUUGUUGGCUUUCUAAUAUUUGCAGCCAAAAGCAUCAACUCAAAGCAAAAACGCAGCAACAGCAACUCUUGGACUAGAUGUAAAGAGACUCCAAUCUCUGAAUACCAGGAGGAGAAACCCAUCACUCCACGGUAGAGCUAAUACUCUUCAAAAGAUUGCAGGUGUGAGAAGGCAGUAGCAGAAUGGACAAAGGUGGAUGCACACACAAGCAAGUUAAAUGCAGCUCUGGAUAUAAAGGUAGGGCAGCAGUGAUAUCCUGCU